CUACGUAGGGGGCGAGCGUUGUCCGGAAUGAUUGGGCGUAAAGGGCGCGUAGGCGGCCUGUUAAGUCUGGAGUGAAAGUCCUGUUUUCAAGAUGGGAAUUGCUUUGGAUACUGAUGGGCUUGAGUGCAGGAGAGGUUAUCGGAAUUCCCGGUGUAGCGGUGAAAUGCGUAGAGAUCGGGAGGAACACCAGUGGCGAAGGCGGGUAACUGGACUGCAACUGACGCUGAGGCGCGAAAGUGUGGGGAGCAAACAGGAUUAGAUACCCUGGUAGUCCACACUGUAAACGAUGAAUGCUAGGUGUAAGAGGUAUCGACCCCUUUUGUGCCGGAGUUAACACAAUAAGCAUUCCGCCUGGGGAGUACGGCCGCAAGGUUGAAACUCAAAUGAAUUGGCGGGG
rnacentral:rRNA from 1 species